rnacentral:rRNA from 1 species
UACAGAGGGUGCGAGCGUUGUCCGGAAUCACUGGGCGUAAAGGGCGCGUAGGCGGCGCGGUAAGCGUGCGGUGAAAGCCCGGGGCUCAACCCCGGGUCGGCCGUGCGGACUGCCGGGCUGGAGCACUGUAGAGGCAGGUGGAAUUCCGGGUGUAGCGGUGAAAUGCGUAGAUAUCUGGAGGAACACCGGUGGCGAAGGCGGCAUCCUGGACCGGUAUUGACGCUGAGGCGCGAAAGCCAGGGGAGCAAAGCGGG